AGACCAGGCUAAUUUUAAAGAGAAAGAAUACAAGGGUUAUAACCUUAACCAACUCAGGCUAUUUGGCAGAAUGAGUAUGACCACACUCCACAGUGAGCUGUACCACUUAGUAUAGUUCAUUACUAUUUUGUGGCCUACAUU